UACGGAGGAUGCGAGCGUUAUCCGGAUUUAUUGGGUUUAAAGGGUGCGUAGGCGGCAUUAUAAGUUAGUGGUAAAAUAUUGGGGCUUCACCUCACUACGCCAUUAAUACUGUAGAGCUAGAGAACAGACGAGGUAGGCGGAAUAAGUUAAGUAGCGGUGAAAUGCAUAGAUAUAACUUAGAACACCGAUAGCGAAGGCAGCUUACCAGACUGAGUCUGACGCUGAUGCAC
rnacentral:rRNA from 1 species